rnacentral:rRNA from 1 species
CCUACGGGGGGCAGCAGUAGGGAAUUUUCCACAAUGGGCGAAAGCCUGAUGGAGCAACGCCGCGUGGGUGAAGAAGGUCUUCGGAUCGUAAAACCCUGUUGUUAGAGAAGAAAGUGCGUGAGAGUAACUGUUCACGUUUCGACGGUAUCUAACCAGAAAGCCACGGCUAACUACGUGCCAGCAGCCGCGGUAAUACGUAGGUGGCAAGCGUUAUCCGGAUUUAUUGGGCGUAAAGGGAACGCAGGCGGUCUUUUAAGUCUGAUGUGAAAGCCUUCGGCUUAACCGGAGUAGUGCAUUGGAAACUGGGAGACUGGAGUGCAGAAGAGGAGAGUGGAACUCCAUGUGUAGCGGUGAAAUGCGUAGAUAUAUGGAAGAACACCAGUGGCGAAAGCGGCUCUCUGGUCUGUAACUGACGCUGAGGUUCGAAAGCGUGGGUAGCAAACAGGAUUAGAUACCCGAGUAGUC